CUGUCAGGCUUUGGAGCUGCCCAGAGAGGUUUGGAGUCCCCAUCCCUGGAGGUGUCCAGGGCCCUGGUGGGGAUCGGUCCCACCUUGGACUGGGAGAUCUUUCCCAACCUCAAACUUCCCUGGAUUCUGCAAUUCCCCCAGCCCUCACUUGGGCAGCUCCAGCUCCGUUUCCAGGUGGGACCUGAGCCAGGUGGGCUCAUCCCACCCGAUCCCAGCCAUGAAUCCUGGCUGGGGGAAGGAAAAUCCCACAGCCACGGGAAGAACCACGUGAAGAACGAGGAGCGAACUCUCCCCGGUGACUCAGCAGGGCCCAGGGGAUGAUAAACCUGACCCACUGACCUACAUUUGACAUUUAUUUACCCGUUCCUGCCCAGGCUUUGGCUUCCUGGCUUCUCCUCCCUCUGCCAUGGGGGCAGAGCUUCCAGGGAUCCUGACCCCACGGAUCUUCACUCCCAGGGCCCCAAAAAAACAACCCAGCCACCCCGCAGAGCGGGCUCCAGGCAGGGAGAGCAUUGGGAAGGCUCCUCUGAGGAGAUCUGAGCCGAACUUCCCAGGUGGAAAAACGUGGAUGGACUCCCACAUUCCCAGAGAAGUAGCAGGAGCUCUGUGUUUUAGGGAUUGACCACACACAAACACCUUCAGGAGAGGGAAAAGUUACGUGGAUGAAGUCAAACCCACAGAAGAUGAAGGCUGGGAAAACUUCUGGAAUCAGCUCCUGAGGGACAGGGUGGGAGCCCCGACAUCCCUCCAGGAGAGGAUGAGGAGCUCGAGGAUUGCAACAUCUCCGAUGUAGGCAGCAGCAUGGAGGGGAGUCCGGCGUUCUUGGUCCUUGGGG